AGCCAAAGUAACUAAACAUCCUCCAUCACCUCUUGCAAAUCUCAGAACCUCCAAUCCUUGAUGCACUAAACUGACUUUCACCACAACGAGUUAUUUCCCUCAUCGCCCCGCUCGAAUGAAAAGGAGACUGAAAAGAAAGCGAUAUAAGUACAUCAAGGAAUCAUAUGAGGGCUAUUGACAAUCCGUGGUAUACAUGAAUAGCCAAAUGCCAUUUACAAUUCUCCUGAAGGUGGGUAAAUAGAAUGUUUAACCAAAGCACAUCUUACAACCACAUAUUAGAGGUUCGAUAUCUUUCAGGCCAAUUGCAAAAAAUGAUGAACGCUCGGACUACACUAAGAAAAUGGAUGCGACGUGAUGUGAAACAUAUACUGACAAUGCAUCAUGUAAAGGGUUAGUGGUGGUACUGAUUAUUUGUUGUUAUUAGCAAAUCCUUUUAGAGGCCAUGGAUGACUAACACGAUGUUGCAAUCAAUUUGUAAUUAAAGACACCAAAAGUUCUUUUUUUAACCAGAAAGUCCUUGCGCUGGAGUUCAGACAAACCCCUCAAUAACAUGACCAAAUUUGUUUUGGCUCUGUUUAUCACAUAUCAAGUACGAACCAGCAAACAUACAGACUUGUGAAGCUGAUAAGAAAUCAUCAAAGUUAUGUGAACUUGAAACUAAAAGUCCAACAGAGGAGCGAGGAACUAACCUUGUUAUCAUUUCUUUGAAGUCUGAACCUCGCCUAGUUCUUGGUCCAAUGUGAGUAUGCUUCAGAGAUAAUGAUUUCUUAUGUAACAUGC
rnacentral:lncRNA from 1 species